rnacentral:rRNA from 1 species
GAUGAACGCUGGCGGCGUGCCUAAUACAUGCAAGUCGAGCGAACAGAUGAGGAGCUUGCUCCUCUGACGUUAGCGGCGGACGGGUGAGUAACACGUGGAUAACCUACCUAUACGACUGGGAUCACUUCGCGACACCGCCGCUCAUCCCGGAUAAUAUAUUCAACCGCCUGGUUCAAUAGUGAAAGACGGUUUUGCUGUCACUUAUAGAUGGAUCCGCGCCGCAUUAGCUAGUUGGUAAGGUAACGGCUUACCAAGGCAACGAUGCGUAGCCGACCUGAGAGGGUGAUCGGCCACACUGGAACUGAGACACGGUCCAGACUCCUACGGGAGGCAGCAGUAGGGAAUCUUCCGCAAUGGGCGAAAGCCUGACGGAGCAACGCCGCGUGAGUGAUGAAGGUCUUCGGAUCGUAAAACUCUGUUAUUAGGGAAGAACAAAUGUGUAAGUAACUAUGCACGUCUUGACGGUACCUAAUCAGAAAGCCACGGCUAACUACGUG